rnacentral:rRNA from 1 species
CAACGUGGGUAACCUGCCCUGAUGAUUGGGGACGACCCGAGGAAACUCGGGCUAAUACCGAAUGUGCCCUCUGGCCUCAAGGCCGCUGGGGAAAGGAGGCUUCGGCCUCCGCAUCGGGAUGGGCCCGCGGCCCAUUAGCUUGUUGGUGAGGUAAUGGCUCACCAAGGCUACGAUGGGUAGCUGGUCUGAGAGGACGAUCAGCCACACUGGGACUGAGACACGGCCCAG